AUUGAACGCUGGCGGCGGGCCUAACACAUGCCAGUCGAACGGUAACAGGAAGAAGCUUGCUUCUUUGCUGACGAGUGGCGGACGGGCGAGUAAUGUCUGGGAAACUGCCUGAUGGAGGGGGAUAACUACUGGAAACGGUAGCUAAUACCGCAUAACGUCGCAAGACCAAAAAGGGGGACCUUCGGGCCUCUUGCCAUCGGAUGUGCCCAGAUGGGAUUAGCUAGUAGGUGGGGUAACGGCUCACCUAGGCGACGAUCCCUAGCUGGUCUGAGAGGAUGACCAGCCACACUGGAACUGAGACACGGUCCAGACUCCUACGGGAGGCAGCAGUGGGGAAUAUUGCACAAUGGGCGCAAGCCUGAUGCAGCCAUGCCGCGUGUAUGAAGAAGGCCUUCGGGUUGUAAAGUACUUUCAGCGGGGAGGAAGGGAGUAAAGUUAAUACCUUUGCUCAUUGACGUUACCCGCAGAAGAAGCACCGGCUAACUCCGUG
rnacentral:rRNA from 1 species